rnacentral:rRNA from 1 species
UGGGGAAUUUUGGACAAUGGGCGCAAGCCUGAUCCAGCAAUGCCGCGUGCAGGAUGAAGCAUCUAUGGUGUGUAAACUGCUUUUGUACGGGAAGAAACACUCCUACGUGUAGGAGCUUGACGGUACCGUAAGAAUAAGGAUCGGCUAACUCCGUGCCAGCAGCCGCGGUAAUACGGAGGAUCCAAGCGUUAUCCGGAAUCAUUGGGUUUAAAGGGUCCGUAGGCGGUUUAGUAAGUCAGUGGUGAAAGCCCAUCGCUCAACGAUGGAACGGCCAUUGAUACUGUUAGACUUGAAUUAUUAGGAAGUAACUAGAAUAUGUAGUGUAGCGGUGAAAUGCUUAGAUAUCACAUGGAAUACCAAUUGCGAAGGCAGGUUACUACUAAUGGACUGACGCUGAGGUGCGAAAGCGUGGGGAGCAAACA